rnacentral:miRNA from 14 species
GGAAAGUUCUGGGAGCCGUAAUCUUUCAGGCAGAGCUCUGCUUUUGCAUACCUGUGUUGGAAUACUACAGCUCCCUGGA